rnacentral:lncRNA from 1 species
AUCCAUUUCAACUGAGAGGGGUCGCUGUCCCCUGAAACAUGGACCAAGAUCUAUCCACUUCAACUGAGAGGGGUCGCUGUCCCCUGAAACAUGGACCAAGAUCUAUCCACUUCAACUGAGAGGGGUCGCUGUCCACUGAAACAUGGACCAAGGUCCAGUCUUCUUGCCCCUUAAAUAUUGUCAUACUUGAUGAGGACUCAUCCUCUUCCAUGGUAGGUGAUCUGCAGAGAAGAGAUGACUAAGCCUUGCUCACACUGUAGGCCUUAAUGUUCAAAUCAGUUUUGUAUUUUAAAUCCCUUUUUCGGAAUACUGGUUUUCCAAACAUCAACUUACAAGUGACCAAAUCGGAUCUUCUGUGUGUGUUCAGACAGUUAUUUGUUGGCACGGCUACGCUAGUUGUCAUAGUAACGACGGGUGUGUGCGCAAUGGUGUAGGCUGAUUGGUGGCGCUCGACGAGCAGGUGUCCGCAUACUUUUGGUCAUGCAGUGUAUUUCCCUCAGAUUACACAGACCCACAAAGAAUUAGAAAACAAACUUUACAUUAAAACAUAAGAAAUUAUAUACAUAUCUCAAUAUACUUAUUUUCUAAAAAUCACACUCUUACUAAAUAUGAUUUUUUUGUAACAGAAAAAUUACAGACAAACUCACGUCAAACUCUGUAGCUCUCACCGGCCACAGAGGAGAUAGUCCUGUCCAGCCCUCUCUCCAUCUCUCACGAUCAGAGGGUUACUGGUAUCAAUGGCUACCACAUACCGCUGGAGUACUG